GAUUGUGUGGUAACAAUGGAUGCCUCUAGGGUUCUCUUCUAUUGGAUGUGAACUGUGCAGAACAAGUCAUCCUGAUUUCUGUCCAAUAGCGCCACCUGGAGUCACGGAGGGAACACAGCAGCACGAAGCUGAAGGUGCAUAUUCAGAGCCCAGGAAAAGAGUGGCAGAGAAAACCACCUAGAGUAGAAGUUAAGAUAAAGGUAGAGGAGAGGUAGCCAGCAGGAAACCAUAGAAGAACUCAGGAAAGAAACUCUCCCAAGGGACCCUGGUUUCUCCUAUCUCCUUUGUCCUCGGUCCGUUGAAUCAUUUGAGAUGACAUGCUACUGUGAACAUGGUGCAAGCUGAGGGUGGAGGAAGAAUGUAAAGGCAUUUCCUUCAAUACAUGUUUUGAGUGGAAAAUUCAUCUUGUUAUCUGCCUUCUAGAGGAUCAAAUUCGGCCAGCAAUCGCCCAACUUAAAUCAAGAGUGCUAAUAUUUUGAUAAUGAAGGAGAGAUCCAUGCUGGGGAGCCAUCAGCUGUCUCUGCUGGGUAACCCGUCUUCAUGGUUUGCUUGGUGUCAUUCCUGACAUUUUCUAUGGAGACUUCCAGUUGUAAGAGCUCCAGGCUUCAGGGAAUGGAUGACAGAGGGAACCGACUCCUGACUAUCAGCGCGCACCAGGGAAAACACAAGCAAUGAAUGUGUUCGCAACCUCUGUCACCUCCUAUUUGCUUUACAUUUACCAUUGGUUUUAAUAAAUAGGAGCCGGGUUCCAACAAAUCUCAGCAGGGUUCUUCAACUUCUGUCUGCUCUGCACUUCUGCAGCUAACACAUCUGCUUGAACACAUCAGCUAUGAGAAGUGCACAUUUUGAGUCUUCCCAGGAUCUGCAACUUGGGCAAGGGCAGCAGUAACGUAGAGACCCUCCACAGUUUUAAGACAUUUUUCAAAUCCCCUUCUAGGGCAAUUUGUCCCCAAGAGCAGCGUAUGCAGUCUUUAGAAAAGCCUUAAACAUCUGCUUGAGACACCGAUGUUUCACAGACUUCAAAGGCAACAGAUGUGACAAUGCACAGGGAUUCAUUGAGCCUUAGGUUAGACUGGGGAGAUCAAUGACCCUGGGCUUUAACUUAAGCAAAUAUAUUAUCUGAGUUAGUUUUUUUCUCCACAAAAUAUCUGUUUAGUAAUUUUUAUAGUGCUUAUUAUGGUUAAUUUUGGCUUUCAGUCUACAGCCUCUUCUCGUUUCCAGAAUUACUGAGGUCAACACCUAUUUUUCCACAAACCCCCUUAAGUGUGAUUGUUUUAUACAUUUGUACUAAGUUCGAUCGGUCACAUACUGCAUGCCAUUGCAGGAUUCUCCUGACAUUUUAAUGAUUUUUUUUAAUUUGCAGAUAUUAUAGUUCACCCUUUGUGCUAUGAAUUUCUAUGGGUUUUAACAAAUGAAUAGUAUCAGAUGUCCAUCAGUACAAUAUUAUACAGAAUAAUUUCACUGCCUUAAAAAAAUUCCCUGUACUUCUAUUUAACAUUUGUCUGACCCCAGACACCUGGCAAUCACUGUUUUUUUUUUUCAAAUCAUUUUUAU